rnacentral:tRNA from 2 species
CUGCCUGUAGCUCAGCUGGAUAGAGCGGCGGCCUUCUAAGCCGCGGGUCGGGGGUUCGAAUCCCUCCAGGCAGGCCA